rnacentral:misc_RNA from 1 species
CCGAGUUAUACAACUCCCAAACCCCUGUGAACCUUACCUAUCGUUGCUUCGGCGGGACUGCCCCGGUGCCUCUGUGCCCGGAACCAGGCGCCCGCCGGAGACCCAAACUCUUGUCUUUUUAUACGUAUUCUGAGUGGCAUAAGCAAAAAUGAAUCA